GUCAACGGUCAUACCACGUUGAAAGCACCGGUUCUCGUCCGAUCACCGAAGUUAAGCAGCGUCGGCGUAGUCAGUACUUAGAUGGGAGACCGCUGGGAACACUGCGUGCUGUUGACU
rnacentral:rRNA from 1 species